GGCCUGUUGCACAAAAGUAGAAUUAAGACAUCCGGGAUAAAUGACUAAGCUGAGCUCAAUGAAGCCAAAACAUGUGCGUCCAGGCUUAAUUGGUUGCACAAAGACCAAGCCAGGAUGAGCAGACACGGAUUCAUUAAGCCAGGUGAAACCAAUCCUGGAUAGGUGCGCGCUCACGGCUCACUCAAAUAGACCCCGCCACAGAUCACAGAUUAACUGAUUUACCAUGGCAACUAGAGCCGCGUACUUUUCCCCGUCGGAAGCACAAAUCCUCAUGGAGGCAUACGAGGAGGUAAAAGAUAUAAUUAAGAAGAAAGGCAACACCGCCACAGUGAUAAAGCAAAGAGAAAAAGCGUGGCAAAGUAUUGCAGACCGCCUGAAUGCAUUAAACAUGAACGGGCCAAAACGGACAUGGCAGCAGGUCAAAAUCAAAUACAAGAACAUUCUGCAGAAUGGUAUGGUCCCUGACUAAUAUUUAACAAAGCACAAGCAUAUAUUGUACCCAGAAGGUGCCUGCUCACACAUUGUCUGUACUGUUUUAGCAGUGAAAAAGAAUACCCACAGACAAGGCACGGGUGGUGGGUCACCAAAGGCUGACCUUACCCCAGCAGAGGACAUGGCCUUGGAGCUAAAUAAAGGCAGGCCCGUCUUAGAGGGGAUCCCUGGGGGAAAGAGACGAGCAUAGGUUCCUCCCAAGAUGCCACCCGCUUCAUUCAAGUGUCUGGCAGCACUGUGUUCCUGUUAGAGCCACCAGCACAAGCACCAGACGAUGCUGAUCCAGGUGAAGGCCCCAGUGCAGCAGCAACAGCACAUGAUGGAGACGAUGAUGAUGAGGAGGAGACCAUUUCUCUGGAUUCCAGAAGGCAUGAGGUAUCAUGGUAAGACUGUGAAAGUACUAUUUACUCUACAAUGGUGAGGAGUCCUCAUCAAAAUCAAAAAAUCGAAUUUCUUUUACAGGACCCAGAUGCUAUACAGUGGGAAAACCAGCCUGGCAACAUAGUGCGUAUUAAUAAAAGGACACCACAUCCUGCCAAAUUCCAGCUGCGCUAAUUGUAUUGUGUUCACAGAGCUCACAAGCUAUCAGAAAGUUGUAUGGCAACCACCUCCGGCGCCAAAUAGAACUGGCAGACAUAGACAUUCAGUACAAGAAGAAAAAGUUGGAAAAUCUUGCACUGGAGUCCGAAAUAAAAAGAGGACAAUUAGGAAACUGGACCUUGAAAUAAAAAAACUUGAGAGGGAGGUGAGAUAUGCCUUCAAUGUACACUGUAUGCUAACUGUAACACAAAUGUAUUAAUCAUUAUUUGUAUUUCCUCCCCCAGCUCCAAGAAGAUGACACAGCUCAAAAUAAAAAUGAGCAAUCAGUACAACCAAGUCAUCGUUAUAAGGCAUCGCCCUCUUUUGCCCACCCCCCCAGCACCAGGUGUGGCCACUAGCCUAUAUGAAGGCCCAAAAUUGUGUGUUCCUUUCUGCUCUGACAAUGGCAUGCCCAUUCGUGCGAGAUGUGGUGGAUGAAGAAGCACUUGUGCUGAGGAGAGCCUUCAGGCGAGAAAGGGUCUUCAGGGACCGGUUCACCCACUGGCCUUCCCUGAUGACCAUCUAUAUGAAAGAUACAGGUUUUCUGCAGAUGGCAUCAGGUAUCUAUGCAGACUACUGGGUCCCAGGAUUAAGCACCGCACUGCACGGAGCCAUGCACUGAGUGUGGAGCAAAUGGUUUGUGUGGCCUUGCGCUUUUUUGCUAGUGGAGCCUUCCUGUACUCAGUGGGGGAUGCAGAACAGCUGAACAAGGCCACAAUUUGCCGCACAAUAAGGAGUGUGUGUCUGGCUAUCAAAGCAUUAGCAGAUGUCUUCAUCUCCUUCCCUGGCCACAGAAGACUCUGUGACAUCAAAGAGGAGUUCUAUAGGAUUGCAGAUGGUCUGCAAUGCUGACUGUGUGAUCAGCAAUGUUGUGGCAAAAUGGCCUGGCUCUGUCCAUGACUCCAGAAUCUUUCGGGCCUCUGAAAUCUAUCAGUGCCUCUGAAAUCUAUCAGUGCCUAUCACAAGGUGAAUUCUCUGGUGUGUUGCUGGGAGACAGGGGGUAUGGCUGCCAGCCUUUUCUCCUGACACCUUUCACAGACCCCCAGGAAGCACAGCAGGCCUACAACCAUGCCCAUGCCAGGACCAGGGCCAGAGUUGAAAUGACCUUUGGCCUCCUGAAGGCACGCUUUCACUGCCUUCACAAAUUAAGGGUCAGCCCUGUUAGGGCAUGUGAUAUUACUGUGGCUUGUGCUGUCCUCCACAAUGUGGCCUGCCUGAGGAAGGAGAGGGCCCCCAGAGUGCCACCAGCCAUGGACUGGGACAAUCCGGCAAUCUUCCCUGAUGACGACAGUGGUCGGCUGCUGAGGGACCAAUAUGUGUUGAAUUAUUUUAGUUAGUAUGUGUGCUUUCAAUUUUGGUUAAAUAUGUCCUGCGGUGGCAGAGGAAUUUGGGUUUUUUUGGGUUUGUUUUUUUACGAAUUUGGCCUCUUAUGAUGUUUGUGCGGUAUACUGUGUGUAAUACAAGGCUGCAGGGAGGCUACUGCAUCCAUUCAUUUGUCUGUUCAGUUGAUGUGUAUGGAUUUGUCCUGCAUUUAUUUUAGUGUGCAGACAUGCAGGGUGUGUUAUAUACAGACCUUUGAAUGUGUAUGUAUCAUUUUGUAUAAUAUGCUUGGAUUCUGUGCUUUCCAUCUUGUAGAGUCACUGUGACUUCAGUUUCGAAAGGAGCUGAUGGUUUACCUGCUUUGUUUUGUCCUUAUUCAAUGAAGGAACAUAAUGUUACACAUUGUGUUUUUAUAUUCAUAUGGAAUGUGUAUUUGUUUAUAUGACAGAGUACUAGGGCCACACUGAAGAAAAAGGAUAAAGUCAUAAAUUUAUGAGGCUGGUUCUUUCUGCAGAAAAGCUACAUAUUGUUUUUACAGUUUUGAUACUUAUGACAAUGUGAUACUUAAUAUUCUGGCACAUCAGCAUGUCUUUGUUUAUGA